rnacentral:rRNA from 1 species
UAGUCCACGCCGUAAACGAUGGAUACUAGCUGUUCGGAAGCAAUUCUGAGUGGCUAAGCGAAAGUGAUAAGUAUCCCACCUGGGGAGUACGAACGCAAGUUUGAAACUCAAAGGAAUUGACGGGGGCCCGCACAAGCGGUGGAGCAUGUGGUUUAAUUCGAUGAUACGCGAGGAACCUUACCAGGGCUUAAAUGUAGAGUGACAGAUUUGGAAACAGAUUUUUCUUCGGACACUUUACAAAGUGCUGCAUGGUUGUCGUCAGCUCGUGCCGUGAGGUGUCAGGUUAAGUCCUAUAACGAGCGCAACCCCUGUUGUUAGUUGCCAGCGAGUCAAGUCGGGAACUCUAACAAGACUGCCAGUGCAAACUGAGAGGAAGGUGGGGAUGACGUCAAAUCAUCACGGCCCUUACGUCCUGGGCUACACACGUGCUACAAUGGCCGGUACAGAGAGCAGCCACUAGGUGACUAGGAGCGAAUCUACAAAACCGGUCACAGUUCGGA